AAACAACUCUCAGCAACGGAUAUCUUGGCUCUUGCAACGAUGAAGAACGCAGCGAAAUGCGAUACGUAGUGUGAAUUGCAGAAUUCCGCGAAUCAUCGAGUCUUUGAACGCAAGUUGCGCCCGAGGCUUAUCCCAAGGGCAUUUCCGCUAGAGCGUCACC
rnacentral:rRNA from 1 species